rnacentral:lncRNA from 1 species
UCUGGCCUCGUCAUGCAGCCCUGCUCAGAGUAGGGGAUUGAGGGUCCAGGCAGAUCCCUAGUUCCUUUUGACCUUUAUUGCCAUUGGGCUGCCCCAGGGUCCUUGGACUCUACCUGGUCUUCUGGCCUAGGUCAGGGGAUGUGAGGUUUGGAAUCCCUCUCUGUGGCAGGAUCCCAGGCCCCCCAGCCAUUUGAGGGCAGGCACAGCCUUCCCUAAUUGUGUUAGAGGGGGAGACUUCUCCCACCCAUCCUCAUCCAUGCUCAUCCCACAUUUUGUAGCUUGACACCUGAGGACCUUUAUUCAUUGACUUAGUGGUUAGUGAUGAUGGUUGCUAAGACUAAGUAUCUCUUUCAAAGUCACAUCACUUGCAUGGUUGGGCUAGAGCAUGGAUCUUCGUAAUUGAUUUCAUGGGACUCUCUCAUGGAAACUGUGACUGCCUCCUAAACACACACUCUACAUUUGGAGUGUCAAAAUUCUUGGCACUGCCUCCUUGGCAAGUGUAUCUUGUCUUCUACUUGGGAAUUUCACAAAUAUUUUCGUUUGGUUUGUGGAGGUCAUGCAGAAGGGAUUUCAUUUGAAAUAGCCCAAACAAGAAAUACCAGUUGUCUUUUUCACACAUGGAUGUGUGUAAUGAAC